rnacentral:rRNA from 1 species
UACGGGGGGGGCAAGCGUUGUUCGGAAUUACUGGGCGUAAAGGGCCAGUAGGCGGCCAACUAAGUCGGAUGUGAAAUCCCCAGGCUUAACCUGGGAACUGCAUCCGAUACUGGAUGGCUUGAAUUCGGGAGAGGGAUGCAGAAUUCCAGGUGUAGCGGUGAAAUGCGUAGAUAUCCGGAGGAACACCGGUGGCGAAGGCGGCUUCCUGGACCGACACUGACGCUGAGGCGCGAAAGCUAGGGGAGCAAACGGG